GUGCAACUUGGUGUAACUUUACGAAACUUUAUAAAACUUUCCACAAUGAUGACACACAACCAGAAAAUCUUUUUUAUUGUCAGACGUUUACUUUUAACUUUACGUUUUGUUUGCAGCUGGGUAAGGCUUGUUUAAAUUUGUUUUACUUCGAGAUACUCGUUGGCGCAUUGAUGAAAUUUGUUUGAAUUUGUUCUAGUGAAUAGUUGCGCGUCGCGCACCGCCCGAACGAAUGUGCGAAUCCGCGAAAAACCACGCUCUUAUAUUUAUUAAUGAUAGAUCUGCGCCCAGACGACAGGUACAGCCAGGCAUAUUAGACUAUCAGGUAUAACAACAGCGACGCCACAGAUACAAAACGCAUGCAUGUCCUUCUAAACAGGUAUGGACUAACAUAACUAACAAAAUACAAAUAGAAAAAUACAGUUGUUCUUCUCACCUUCGCCAUUAACAACCAAUAGUUGCUUUAGUUCGCCAUUAUAACAACUUCCGUUAAUAGUUUUUGAAUAUUUUGGUAAGUAGGCAACACACGAAACAAUUUUAGUACAUAAAUUCACCGAUACACAUUUUAAUUUAUAUUUUAAAUCAAAUUUCAAUGGAAACAGUAAAAAUCAUAAUUACGACACUGGAUAUAAACAAAUUAAUGUUUGUUGCUGUGCUGACGAUGUUCGUGAUGUCGAUGCUGCUGUUAGACAAGCAAAAAUAACGUCAGAAAAAGCGCAAGUUGAAUCAAACAAAUUUUAAAGUUGUUUUCUUCAAAUUUGCUUUCAUAAUUCAAGAUAUAACUUAAUAUUAAUUUAUUAUCAAAACAGAACAUGAAAAUUAUCUGCAAAAGUACACAAAUAAAUUGAUAUGAUGAUUAUUUUGACGUAAAAUGAAUUUUUAUGUCAUGCUAAUUACAAUAUUUAAUUGUAUCUACAAUUUACCAUUUUCCACUCUUAAUUGCACGUUGAUUGCAAACGACUCCAAUCGCAAUUUCUCAAUUUUUAAAAUGCUUCGAAUGUUAACAACUUUAGUUAAUGACUAAUUGCUGAUAUGAUGUUAGCAAAGAGGAAAAACUAGUUUUCGAUAUCAAUAUCAUUUAUUGCUUUUCUGUACGCCGGAGUCAUUCAAUGUCGUCACGAUGUCAACGAUUAAAUAAUUUUCUAAUUUUCUGUUUAAUUGCUCAACGCAUUCGUGCAACGUUUUUUCUCUCUUUUUUUGCAAUGUACAGGUGUACUUUGCGUCCGCAAUUUGUAGCGCGAUGUGCAUCAAGGACGUGCAAUUAUGUCACAGGCUAUAACAACUACCAGCACACAGAGACACAACUGCAAAUGUAACAAAGUCGUAUGCAAGCAGAUGAAAAUCGAAUGCGUGCGUUUCAAAAUGGCUGCCAUGGGUUGAUAUAAGAUAAUACAUGUGAUUUUCUUACAACCGAGUCGCAUUUUCCUAUAAACUACAAUAAAACAACAACAAGGUACAAUUAUAUUUAUUGUUAGAGUGCUGGACGCAAUCGUCAGGAAAAAGUAAAUAAAAGAAUGGCAUACAAUUAGUCAUAAAAAUGGCAUGGUGCAUGCUGACCUUGAGUUUUCAUUCUAUGAAUCAGCUAUAUUACAUCUUUAUACUCCUUAGUUCAUUUUCUAUCACAAUUAAAUCUUAAGAUCUUUAUUUUUGUAUAAUUAUAAGUGAUAUAAUCAAAAAUGUGACGGUGAUAGUUCUAAAUAUCCAUUUUCAACAUUAAACAUAAUAAAAUUGUAUUUUUUUUAAA